rnacentral:rRNA from 1 species
CCUACGGGUGGCAGCAGUGGGGAAUAUUGCACAAUGGGCGAAAGCCUGAUGCAGCAACGCCGCGUGAGCGAUGAAGGCCUUCGGGUCGUAAAGCUCUGUCCUCAAGGAAGAUAAUGACGGUACUUGAGGAGGAAGCCCCGGCUAACUACGUGCCAGCAGCCGCGGUAAUACGUAGGGGGCUAGCGUUAUCCGGAAUUACUGGGCGUAAAGGGGGCGUAGGUGGUUUCUUAAGUCAGAGGUGAAAGGCUACGGCUCAACCGUAGUAAGCCUUUGAAACUGGGGAACUUGAGUGCAGGAGAGGAGAGUGGAAUUCCUGGUGCAGCGGUGAAAUGCGUAGAUAUUAGGAGGAACACCAGUGGCGAAGGCGGUCUGCUGGACAGCAACUGACGGUGAGGCGCGAAAGCGUGGGGAGCAAACAGGAUUAGAUACCCGGGUAGUC